UGUUCCCUAACGCGGUUGCGUAUCUUUCCUACGAAAGGACCAUCGAAGAAGAGCGAGAUUGCGACAUUAUUAAUAUAAAAAUCGACCAUUGACUGUUCUCCUUUUCUCUCAGAGGAAGUCGUUUACCGUCAACUUCCCUUCUUCGGCGUACCUCCACCGAACCAUCGCGGCACGAGCACAGCCCCUUCCUAUGCGUCGGUCCGCCGGUCCGCCAUCCCUUCAUAUAGCCGCUCUGGACUCUCGGAGCAAUCCACUCCCAUUCAGACAUUUUCACAAACACGCCAAGGGCCAGAAACUGAAAGACUCGAGCGCUCUCCAUGGAGGCCGAGUCGUCUCCGUUUGAGAGCAGCGAGAUGCUGGCGAGUUUCCUGGCGUCGACGCCCUUCUUGGAGGAAUCGUGGAGGUUGUGCACUUCGCGAACUCCGCCGCUCCGAGGGGCUUCGUGGCGGACCGACGCGCUGAGGUCGGGUACCAGGCGCUCUCGGGCGUCCAGGUGAUCGACGGGUCCGAGCCGAGCUGCGGGACCCUGAUGGAGAUGGGCGAGUGCCGAUGGAGCAUCUGUUCUCGCCGUUAAGGUGCGACAGCGACGGCAAGGGGGUUGUCGAGGCGGACGUGGGAUUCCUCUGUCUCUUCCUGGAAUUUUACCAGCGACAGGAUUUCCAAAAGCAGGUACGCGGCCCCUUUUGCUUUUUUGACUUCAACUUGGAAGACUGUCUUUACGUGACUUUUGUUUUUUUCUGGGUAAUUGCGUUACAUCUUCAUCAGUCGAACAUCAUCAACUUCCACGAAAUUACGUUUUAGCUUUCAAUCACCCUCGUGAUAACUCGAUCGGCCUAUGGACUUGGCAUAUCCUAUGAUCCAUAGACUGGAUUGUGAAUUUAA